rnacentral:rRNA from 1 species
AUGGCGUCCGAGCUAGCCAGCCUUGCACUGGUCUCGGCCGCCGUGGCCGCGGCCAUGGCCUACGCGCGCCUCGCCGCCUCGCGCUUGGGCCCCGGCCUCCCCCGCCUCGCCGCGCUCCUCCCGGUGCUCCUCCUCCUCCCCGUCCUCCCCUUCACCUUCUCCUCCAUCCACCUCCGCACCAUCUCCGCCUUCUUCCUCGUCUGGCUCUGCGGCUUCAAGCUUCUCCUCCUCGCCGCCGGCCACGGCCCGCUCCACCCGGCCCUCCCAGCCGUCCGCUUCGCCGCCUGCGCCGCGCUCCCCAUCAAUGUCCGGGACAGAGCGCAGGCCUCGCGGUCCCUCCCUCCAGGGUUCCUGCUGUCCUACGCGGCCAAGGCGGCCCUCUUCGCCGCGCUCGUCUCGCUCCGUGGCCUCCGGGCGAGGAUGCCGGCGUACGCCGUGGUCGCGUUCGACGGUGCGCACGUCUACCUGAUGCUCGAGCUCUUCCUGGCGUCCGCCGCGGCGUUCGCCCGGACGCUGCUCGGCGCGGAGUUGGAGCCGCAGUUCGACCGGCCGUACCUCGCCUCGUCCCUCCGCGACUUCUGGGGCCGCCGGUGGAACCUCAUGGUCCCCGGGGCGCUCCGGCCGAGCGUGUACCGCCCCGUGCGCGCCCGCCUCGGCUACUCCGCCGGCGUGCUCGCCACGUUCCUCGUGUCGGGCCUCAUGCACGAGGUCAUGUUCUACUACAUCACGCUGCAGGCCGGCACGGGGGAGGUGACCGCGUUCUUCGUCCUCCACGGCGCGUGCGUGGUGGCCGAGCGGUGGUGGGUGAGGCGGAGCGGCGCAUGGCGGCCGCCGCGCGUGGCGGCGACGGCGGCCACGCUGGCGUUCGUGACGGGGACCGCGUCCUGGCUCUUCUUCGCGCCCGUGAUACGGAGCGGGCUGGACAAGGCCAUCGUCGCCGAGUGCGAGGGCAUGCUGGCCUUGCUGGAGGCGGCUGUGCGGAGGCUGGCGGCACGCCUGGUUUGGACCUGA